rnacentral:rRNA from 1 species
AUUGAACGCUGGCGGCAUGCCUUACACAUGCAAGUCGAACGGCAGCACGGGUGCUUGCACCUGGUGGCGAGUGGCGAACGGGUGAGUAAUACAUCGGAACGUACCUUAUCGUGGGGGAUAACGCAGCGAAAGCUGUGCUAAUACCGCAUACGCCCUGAGGGGGAAAGCGGGGGAUCGCAAGACCUCGCGCGAUUAGAGCGGCCGAUGCCUGAUUAGCCUGUUGGUGGGGUAAAAGCCCACCAAGGCGACGAUCAGUAGCUGGUCUGAGAGGACGAUCAGCCACACUGGGACUGAGACACGGCCCAGACUCCUACGGGAGGCAGCAGUGGGGAAUUUUGGACAAUGGGGGCAACCCUGAUCCAGCAAUGCCGCGUGAGUGAAGAAGGCCUUCGGGUUGUAAGGCUCUUUUGUCAGGGAAGAAACACCGGCUCUAACACAGUCUGGGAAUGACGGUACCUGAAGAAUAAGCACCGGCUAACUACGUGCCAGCCGCCGCGGUAA